AAUCUACUCCCUCCAAUCCAAAUUACUUGUCGCAGCUUUGUCUGGAUACGCAUGUAUCUUGAUUCGUUUCAUUGUGUAGAUACAUGCGUAUCUAGACAAAACAGUGACAAGUAAUGUGGAUCGGAGGGACUAUAAA
rfam:Brachypodium distachyon strain Bd21 chromosome 2, whole genome shotgun sequence.